rnacentral:rRNA from 1 species
AACGAACGCUGGCGGCAGGCCUAACACAUGCAAGUCGAACGCAUCCUUCGGGGUGAGUGGCGCACGGGUGAGUAACACGUGGGAAUGUACCCUUUGGUUCGGAAUAACGUUUGGAAACGAACGCUAAUACCGGAUGAGCCCUACGGGGGAAAGAUUUAUCGCCAAAGGAGCGGCCCGCGUCUGAUUAGCUAGUUGGUGGGGUAAUGGCCUACCAAGGCGACGAUCAGUAGCUGGUCUGAGAGGAUGAUCAGCCACACUGGGACUGAGACACGGCCCAGACUCCUACGGGAGGCAGCAGUGGGGAAUAUUGGACAAUGGGCGAAAGCCUGAUCCAGCCAUGCCGCGUGAGUGAUGAAGGCCUUCGGGUUGUAAAGCUCUUUCGCACGCGACGAUGAUGACGGUAGCGUGAGAAGAAGCCCCGGCUAACUUCGUGCCAGCAGCCGCCGUAAAAC